GAUGAACGCUGGCGGCGUGCCUAAUACAUGCAAGUCGAGCGAACAGACGAGGAGCUUGCUCCUCUGACGUUAGCGGCGGACGGGUGAGUAACACGUGGAUAACCUACCUAUAAGACUGGGAUAACUUCGGGAAACCGGAGCUAAUACCGGAUAAUAUAUUGAACCGCAUGGUUCAAUAGUGAAAGACGGUUUUGCUGUCACUUAUAGAUGGAUCCGCGCCGCAUUAGCUAGUUGGUAAGGUAACGGCUUACCAAGGCAACGAUGCGUAGCCGACCGGAGAGGGUGAUCGGCCACACUGGAACUGGGACACGGUCCAGACUCCUACGGGAGGCCGCAGUAGGGAAUCGUCCGCAAUGGGCGAAAGCCUGACGGAGCAACGCCGAGUGAGUGAUGAAGGUCUUCGGAUCGUAAAACUCUGUUAUUAGGGAAGAACAAAUGUGUAAGUAACUAUGCACGUCUUGACGGUACCUAAUCAGAAAGCCACGGCUAACUACGUG
rnacentral:rRNA from 1 species